UACGGAGGGUGCAAGCGUCGUCCGGAUUUAUUGGGGUUAAAGGGUGCGUAGGCGGCUUGAUAAGUCCGUGGUGAAAGCCAACAGCUCAACUGUUGAACUGCCAUGGAUACUGUCAGGCUUGAGUACAGACGAGGUAGGCGGAAUGGAUCGUGUAGCGGUGAAACGCAUGGAUACGAUCCAGAACUCCGAUUGCGAAGGCAGCUUACUAGGCUGUAACUGACGCUGAGGCACGAAAGCGUAGGGAGCGAACAGG
rnacentral:rRNA from 1 species